rnacentral:rRNA from 1 species
GACGAACGCUGGCGGCGUGCCUAAUACAUGCAAGUAGAACGCACAGUUUAUACCGUAGCUUGCUACACCAUAGACUGUGAGUUGCGAACGGGUGAGUAACGCGUAGGUAACCUGCCUGGUAGCGGGGGAUAACUAUUGGAAACGAUAGCUAAUACCGCAUAAUAUUGAUUAUUGCAUGAUAAUUGAUUGAAAGAUGCUAUUGCAUUACUACCAGAUGGACCUGCGUUGUAUUAGCUAGUAGGUGAGGUAACGGCUCACCUAGGCGACGAUACAUAGCCGACCUGAGAGGGUGAUCGGCCACACUGGGACUGAGACACGGCCCAGACUCCUACGGGAGGCAGCAGUAGGGAAUCUUCGGCAAUGGACGAAAGUCUGACCGAGCAACGCCGCGUGAGUGAAGAAGGGUUUCGGAUCGUAAAGCUCUGUUGUAAGAGAAGAACGGGUGUGAGAGUGGAAAGUUCGCACUGUGACGGUAUCUUACCAGAAAGAGACGGCUAACUACGUG